rnacentral:rRNA from 1 species
CCUACGGGGCGCAGCAGUAGGGAAUAUUGCUCAAUGGGGGAAACCCUGAAGCAGCAACGCCGCGUGGAGGAUGAAGGUUUUCGGAUUGUAAACUCCUUUUGUUAGGGAAGAUAAUGACGGUAUCUAACGAAUAAGCACCGGCUAACUCCGUGCCAGCAGCCGCGGUAAUACGGAGGUUGCAAGCGUUACUCGGAAUCACUGGGCGGAAAGAGCGCGUAGGCGGGAUAGCAAGUCAGAUGUGAAGUCCUAUGGCUUAACCAUAGAACUGCAUUUGAAACUGUUAUUCUAGAGUAUGGGAGAGGUAGGUGGAAUUCUUGGUGUAGGGGUAAAAUCCGUAGAGAUCGAGAGGAAUACUCAUUGCGAAGGCGACCUGCUAGAACAUAACUGACGCUGAUGCGCGAAAGCGUGGGGAGCAAACAGGAUUAGAUACCCCUGUAGUC